rnacentral:rRNA from 1 species
CCUACGGGAGGCUGCAGUGGGGGAUAUUGCACAAUGGGGGAAACCCUGAUGCAGCGACGCCGCGUGAGUGAUGAAGUAUUUCGGUAUGUAAAGCUCUAUUAGCAGGGAAGAAAAUGACAGUACCUGACCAAUAAGCACCGGCUAACUACGUGCCAGCAGCCGCGGUAAUACGUAGGGGGCAAGCGUUAUCCGGAUUUACUGGGCGUAAAGGGAGCGUAGACGGGUAAGUAAGUCCGGAGUGAAAGCCCGGGGCUCAACCACGGGACUGCUUUGGAAACUGUGUAACUGGAGUACGGGAGGGGCAGGCGGAAUUCCUGGUGUAGCGGUGAAAUGCGUAGAUAUCAGGAGGAACACCGACGGCGAAGGCGGCCUGCUGGACUGAAACUGACGUUGAGGCUCGAAAGCGUGGGGAGCAAACAGGAUUAGAUACCCUUGUAGUC